GGGGAAUCUCUGGACUCCCUUUACUGAGUAAAAUUUUGACCAAAAUUGGUCUGUGAAAUGUAAUUACGUGGACUCUAGGGAACUAUGGCUUUAAGAUUCACAUAUAAACAUUCAAAUGAGAUUUGGUAGAAGUUUACAUUAUUUAUUUAAAGAAGCUGUUUUUCAUGACCAAGAAUCGUCUAAGGCUAGUCUUUAGGACCAACCGCAAC
rnacentral:misc_RNA from 1 species